rnacentral:rRNA from 1 species
UGGGGAAUCUUGGACAAUGGGCGCAAGCCUGAUCCAGCCAUGCCGCGUGGAUGAUGAAGGCCUUAGGGUUGUAAAAUCCUUUCGUGGGGGACGAUAAUGACGGUACCCCAAGAAGAAGCUCCGGCUAACUUCGUGCCAGCAGCCGCGGUAAUACGAAGGGGGCUAGCGUUGUUCGGAUUUACUGGGCGUAAAGCGCGUGUAGGCGGGUCGUUAAGUUGGGGGUGAAAUCCCGAGGCUCAACCUCGGAACUGCCUUCAAAACUGGCGACCUGGACCCAAGUAGAGGCAAGUGGAAUUGCGAGUGUAGAGGUGAAAUUCGUAGAUAUUCGCAGGAACACCAGUGGCGAAGGCGACUUGCUGGACUUGUGGUGACGCUGAGACGCGAAAGCGUGGGGAGCAAACAGGAUUAGAUACCCUCGUAGUCCCUGAGCGGGCUGGCAAGGCGCAU